AGCGAACGCUGGCGGCAGGCUUAACACAUGCCAGUCGAGCGGGCAUCCUUGUGGUGUCAGCGGCAGACGGGUGAGUAACGCGUGGGAACGUGCCCUUCGGUUCGGAAUAACUCAGGGAAACUUGAGCUAAUACCGGAUACGUGCGAGAGCAGAAAGGUUUAUCUGCCGAAGGAUCGGCCCGCGUCUGAUUAGCUAGUUGGUGAGGUUAUGGCUCACCAAGGCGACGAUCAGUAGCUGGUCUGAGAGGAUGAUCAGCCGCACUGGGACUGAGACACGGCCCAGACUCCUACGGGAGGCAGCAGUGGGGAAUAUUGGACAAUGGGGGCAACCCUGAUCCAGCCAUGCCGCGUGAGUGAUGACGGCCUUAGGGUUGUAAAGCUCUUUUCUUCGGGACGAUAAUGACGGUACCGGAGGAAUAAGCCCCGGCUAACUUCGUG
rnacentral:rRNA from 1 species